AAAGCUUUAAAUAGUCUUGAUUAACAAACAAUUUUGAUCAGUUGGCUGUUGUUGAAAAAGACGACAAUAGAUGGCGACAUUAAUUAAUAAAUUUAUUGCAAUUCAUUUCAAAUUUCAAUAGCAACAGCUUUUUCACUUGCGAGUUUCAACUGUUAUUUACUUAUCGUUUGAAUCAAAAUCAACUAAUUUUCUUUCCACUGUGAAUUAACCUGACUUAUAAUUGGUUUAAAUUGUUGGUAUCUAUUUGUCCAAUCAACUGUGAGUGAAACUGAAACGUUUAUCUGAAAAUUGUCUUUUUCUUAUGUGCAUUGGGUUGAGUUGGGUAUUGAGAUGAUGCUUCAAGUUGUAAUCAAGCUGGGCGGCUCACUGUGACCGGUGGUAUGGAAAUGAAAUAAAUUUAGUAAUUACUGGUAAAAUUAUGAUGAUUGGUUUUUAAUUUCUUGGGUUGAGCUAAUUAAAAAUCAGAUCAAUGAAUCAUCCUUUUCAGUUUCAAGUUUAUAAACUAUGAAAUCUAUUAGUGUUAAAGAUUCAGUUUAUUCAUCUAAUGGGUUGGUUGAAUAAGCCCGACUUGGCCAUCUUUACCUGCAUUUAUUCACUUAUUAUAAACUUAUCCUAUUCAAACGAUUCCGAAGCUCAACUGUAAAUAUUAUUAUAAUUUAAGCUUAGUUUGUCAUUAGGCAUAAAUUGUGGUCUCAAAUGUUUCCUUUUGGUGGAUCAUUAAUCUUAUAUUAGGUGGACUUGUAUGUCAACAGCUGAGCACGAUUAGGCAUUAAUUAUUCUUCAUUAUGUUAUCCUGGAUUAACCUUGUUUCUUUCAUCUUUUCCUUCUUUAAUCAACACAAAUUGACCACGAAAAACUUGAAUGCAAUUGAAAUUAUUCUUGGUCAAGAUAAACCAUACUAAAGGAGAGAGUUUUGUUGCAGAAAAAUCGUUAAUUUAUUCAGAUGAUUGUGUGAAAAUAAAAAAAAAUGAGCGAUGAGUAAGAUUGGAAGACAAUGGAAAUGACUUAGAUAAAAGAGUAUGAAUGAGAAAAGGUUGACCAAAAGGUGCCCAUAAUGUGAAAAU